UGGGGAAUUUUGGACAAUGGGCGCAAGCCUGAUCCAGCCAUGCCGCGUGUCUGAAGAAGGCCUUCGGGUUGUAAAGGACUUUUGUCAGGGAAGAAAAGGCUGUUGCUAAUAUCGACAGCUGAUGACGGUACCUGAAGAAUAAGCACCGGCUAACUACGUGCCAGCAGCCGCGGUAAUACGUAGGGUGCGAGCGUUAAUCGGAAUUACUGGGCGUAAAGCGAGCGCAGACGGUUACUUAAGCAGGAUGUGAAAUCCCCGGGCUCAACCUGGGAACUGCGUUCUGAACUGGGUGACUAGAGUGUGUCAGAGGGAGGUAGAAUUCCACGUGUAGCAGUGAAAUGCGUAGAGAUGUGGAGGAAUACCGAUGGCGAAGGCAGCCUCCUGGGAUAACACUGACGUUCAUGCUCGAAAGCGUGGGUAGCAAACAGGAUUAGAUACCCUGGUAGUCCACGCCCUAAACGAUGUCAAUUAGCUGUUGGGCAACUUGAUUGCUUAGUAGCGUAGCUAACGCGUGAAAUUGACCGCCUGGGGAAUACGGUCGCAAGAUUA
rnacentral:rRNA from 1 species